AGAGAGAGAGAGAGAGAGGUGAUAUUCAGAGGCUUUGCGUCAUUGCUCCGCAAAAAUACAGAGAGGGUGAGAGAGGUGAAGAACGAUAGGGAGAGCGAGGGUCUCCUUCUUUGCUCAGAAAUUUUCAAUCUUGAGGAAAUUUGGGAAUCGUGGCGCCUGGUGGAGCUGUUGAGGGAAUCCAGGGCUUCGCAAGUAAAACAAAUACACAGUCAUGGAUUUUGCAAGUGAUUUCCGUCGGGCUCCGCUUCUUUCGACUAAUACGAAUUUUAUAGCCGAUAUUGUGAGUUCUCUUUGGCCGGCCAACAACUAAUGGACCACAGAGACGAAGCCUAUCUGAGAUACUCAGUUUCCCGAGUCUAUCAUAUUAAAGCUGUCGGCUACUUCAUCCCUGUACAAAUGUUUCUGUCAUGCUCCUCAUUG